UACGGGGGGAGCAAGCGUUGUUCGGAUUUACUGGGCGUAAAGGGCGCGUAGGCGGUCGUGACAAGUCACUUGUGAAAUCUCCGGGCUUAACUCGGAACGGUCAAGUGAUACUGUCGGACUAGAGUACAGAAGGGGCAACUGGAAUUCUCGGUGUAGCGGUGAAAUGCGCAGAUAUCGGGAGGAACACCAAUGGCGAAGGCAGCUCGCUGGGACGUUACUGACGCUGAGACGCGAAAGCGUGGGGAGCAAACAGG
rnacentral:rRNA from 1 species